rnacentral:rRNA from 1 species
AUUGAACGCUGGCGGCAUGCUUUACACAUGCAAGUCGAACGGCAGCGCGGGCUUCGGCCUGGCGGCGAGUGGCGAACGGGUGAGUAAUGCAUCGGAACGUGCCCAGUAGUGGGGGAUAGCCCGGCGAAAGCCGGAUUAAUACCGCAUACGACCUGAGGGUGAAAGCGGGGGACCGAAAGGCCUCGCGCUAUUGGAGCGGCCGAUGUCGGAUUAGCUAGUUGGUGGGGUAAAGGCUUACCAAGGCGACGAUCCGUAGCUGGUCUGAGAGGACGACCCGCCACACUGGGACUGAGACACGGCCCAGACUCCUACGGGAGGCAGCAGUGGGGAAUUUUGGACAAUGGGGGCAACCCUGAUCCAGCCAUGCCGCGUGCGGGAAGAAGGGCUUCGGGUUGUAAACCGCUUUUGUUCGGGAAGAAAUCCUCUGGGCUAAUACCCCGGGGGGAUGACGGUACCGGAAGAAUAAGCACCGGCUAACUACGUG